CCUACGGGAGGCAGCAGUAAGGAAUAUUGGACAAUGGAGGCAACUCUGAUCCAGCCAUGCCGCGUGAAGGAAUAAGGCCCUAUGGGUUGUAAACUUCUUUUAGACGGGACAAAACCCCUUUACGUGUAAAGGGUUGAUGGUACUGUCAGAAUAAGCAUCGGCUAACUUCGUGC
rnacentral:rRNA from 1 species